rfam:Cavia porcellus supercont2_134 genomic scaffold, whole genome shotgun sequence.
GGGGGUGUUGUUGGCUAUAGAGUGAAAUUCAGAGCCAGAAGUCACAAAGCAGUGUAGAGAGAGUGACAGAACAAACAGAACUGUCUAGAUGGAAGCAGCAGGUCUUAGCAGAGAUGAACACUGUGUAGAAAAUCUAUGGUGUCUCUAGCCACAGCACUGAAACCAAAGCCCCA